rnacentral:rRNA from 1 species
ACAUUUUUUUUUAGAUGCUAGACAACUAACUUUAUUGGAGAGUUUGAUCCUGGCUCAGGAUGAACGCUGGCGGCGUGCCUAAUACAUGCAAGUCGAGCGAAUGGAUUAAGAGCUUGCUCUUAUGAAGUUAGCGGCGGACGGGUGAGUAACACGUGGGUAACCUGCCCAUAAGACUGGGAUAACUCCGGGAAACCGGGGCUAAUACCGGAUAACAUUUUGAACUGCAUGGUUCGAAAUUGAAAGGCGGCUUCGGCUGUCACUUAUGGAUGGACCCGCGUCGCAUUAGCUAGUUGGUGAGGUAACGGCUCACCAAGGCAACGAUGCGUAGCCGACCUGAGAGGGUGAUCGGCCACACUGGGACUGAGACACGGCCCAGACUCCUACGGGAGGCAGCAGUAGGGAAUCUUCCGCAAUGGACGAAAGUCUGACGGAGCAACGCCGCGUGAGUGAUGAAGGCUUUCGGGUCGUAAAACUCUGUUGUUAGGGAAGAACAAGUGCUAGUUGAAUAAGCUGGCACCUUGACGGUACCUAACCAGAAAGCCACGGCUAACUACGUGCCAGCAGCCGCGGUAAUACGUAGGUGGCAAGCGUUAUCCGGAAUUAUUGGGCGUAAAGCGCGCGCAGGUGGUUUCUUAAGUCUGAUGUGAAAGCCCACGGCUCAACCGUGGAGGGUCAUUGGAAACUGGGAGACUUGAGUGCAGAAGAGGAAAGUGGAAUUCUUGUGUAUCGGUGAAAUGCUUAGAGAUAUGGAUGAACACUAGUGGCGAAGGCGACUUUCUGGUUUGUUACUGACACUUAGGCUCUUCAGCGUGU